rnacentral:tRNA from 1 species
GGGAUCUUAGCUCAGCUGGGAGAGCAUCUGCCUUACAAGCAGAGGGUCACAGGUUCGAGCCCUGGAGGUCCCA